rnacentral:tRNA from 1 species
GAUGGUAUAGCUCAAGUGGUAGAGUGCAUGCUUAGCAUGCAUGAGGUCCUGGGUUCAAUCCUGGUGCCUCCA